rnacentral:rRNA from 1 species
UACGUAGGGUGCGAGCGUUGUCCGGAAUUAUUGGGCGUAAAGAGCUCGUAGGUGGCUUGUCACGUCGGGUGUGAAAGCUUGGGGCUUAACUCCAGGUCUGCAUUCGAUACGGGCUGGCUAGAGGUAGGUAGGGGAGAACGGAAUUCCUGGUGUAGCGGUGAAAUGCGCAGAUAUCAGGAGGAACACCUAUGGCGAAGGCAGCUCUCUGGGACGGUACUGACGCUGAGACGCGAAAGCGUGGGGAGCGAACAGG